AUUGAACGCUAGCGGGAUGCUUUACACAUGCAAGUCGAACGAGUUGCGGACGGGUGAGUAAUGUAUGGGGAUCUGCCCUAUAGAGGGGGAUAUCUACUGGACACGGAGCUAAUCCCGCAUACUAUCGGAUGACCCCAUAUGGGAUUAGCUAGUAGGUGGGGUAAUGGCUCCCCUAGGCGACGAUCCCUAGCUGGUUUGAGAGGACGACCAGCCACACUGGGACUGAGACACGGCCCAGACUCCUACGGGAGGCAGCAGUGGGGAAUUUUGGACAAUGGGGGAAACCCUGAUCCAGCCAUCCCGCGUGUAUGAUGAAGGCCUUCGGGUUGUAAAGUACUUUUGGCAGAGAAGCGGUAUCUGCAGAAGAAGCACCGGCUAACUACGUGCCAGCCGCCGCGGUAAUUC
rnacentral:rRNA from 1 species